rnacentral:rRNA from 1 species
CCUACGGGGUGCAGCAGUGAGGAAUAUUGGUCAAUGGACGCAAGUCUGAACCAGCCAUGCCGCGUGCAGGAAGACGGCUCUAUGAGUUGUAACCUGCUUUUGUACGAGGGUAAACGCAGAUACGCGUAUCUGUCUGAAAGUAUCGUACGAAUAAGGAUCGGCUAAAUCCGUGCCAGCAGCCGCGGCAAUACGGAGGAUUCAAGCGUUAUCCGGAUUUAAUGGGGUUAAAGGGUGCGUAGGCGGUCGGAUAAGUUAGAGGUGAAAUCCCGAGGCUCAACUUCGGAAUUGCCUCUGAUACUGUUCGGCUAGAGAGUAGUUGCGGUAGGCGGAAUGUAUGGUGUAGCAGUGAAAUGCUUAGAGAUCAUACAGAACACCGAUUGCGAAGGCAGCUUACCAAGCUACUUCUGACGUUGAGGCACGAAAGCGUGGGGAGCAAACAGGAUUAGAUACCCUGGUAGUC